rnacentral:rRNA from 1 species
AACGAACGCUGGCGGCAGGCCUAACACGUGCAAGUCGAACGCCCCGCAAGGGGAGUGGCAGACGGGUGAGUAACGAGGGGGAACCUUCCCAAAGGUGCGGAAUAGCUCAGGGAAACUUGGGGUAAUACCGCAUAAUCCCGAGAGGCCAAGGAUUUAUCGCCUUUGGAUGGGCCGGCUUCGGAUUAGCUAGUUGAUGAGGUAACGGCUCACCAAGGCGAGGAUCCGUAGCUGGUUGGAGAGAAUGUCCAGCCACACGGGGACUGUGACACGGCCCAGACUCCUACGGGAGGCAGCAGUGGGGAAUCUUGGACAAUGGGCGCAAGCCUGAUCCAGCCAUGCCGCGUGAGUGACGAAGGCCUUAGGGUUGUAAAGCUCUUUUGCCGGGGACGAUAAUGACGGUACCCGGAGAAUAAGUCCCGGCUAACUUCGUGCCAGCAGCCGCGGUAA